rnacentral:lncRNA from 1 species
AGAAGCGCGUUGUUGCAUUCCAGCUCAUGCUUUAUGUAUCUGUUCUCCCAUGCUAUUUGAAGACCUUAUAGCACAGCUCUUACUUCAACCUUAAAAAUGGUGUCAUUGCCUAUCCAUAAUGAAAAGCUACAUAGCCAGUUUGCAUCAGCAUCUCUAAACACAUCCCCAAUAGAAACUCUUGAUCUAUUUUCAUUUUAUAUGUUUGAAAUCUUACUUUUCAGUCCCGCUUGAGCAAAAAAUCAUUGGAUUAGAGAAUCAUAAUCAAGAAUAAAAAGAACCCAUAGAUGAAGGGGUCUAGUAUCAUAUGCACAAAAAUAAGAAAAUUUGAAAUCAGUUCUCUCAAACCAAUAAAAGAUGAAGAAGAUUAUAAUAAAUCAUGUAGAAGCCCAAUUUCGCCCGGGCCAAUUACAAAAUUAAACAAACAACCAAGCCCAAUUGCAAAACAACCCAACAGACCCAAGCCUAAGUGCCAAGAGUCAAACUAGGGUUUCAGUCUGAAACCCUAGCCUUUCUGACACCCAGCGCCGACGCCAUCUGCAGGCUACCCCAUCCCAUCACCUCCUCUGUCGCCGCCCACUUGCCACGGUCAUCUGCAAACAAAGCAAGCAAAACAGGAGCAAUAUAGAUAGCAGAAAAAAUGAAAAAAAACAAUAGAAAAAAUGUUGUAUCUACUUGGCUAUAAAAAGCCUGGAUAUCAGCCUUGUAAUGGUCUUCUUCCUUUUUUUACAAAAAAGUGAAUAAAAAACAAAGAAAAGCGGAUCAAAGAAAAAGCAAAGAGGUUGAUUCCAAAGUUCUUUUUUUCGCUGUUCUUGUUAUUUUGUUUCUACUUUCUGUUUUUUUGUUUAUUUGUUACUAUUCUUUGAAAUAAAAAAAAAACGAAACGAAAGGGAAAAGAAAAAAGGAUAUUCACCUGUCUCGAAAGCCCGUUGCCGGAGACUAUUUUUGGCGUUGGAAUCGGACUGAAAGGGGUAUGAAAAACCCCUCCUUUUUUGAAUUUUCGGGGUUAAAAGGGUAGAUCUUAAGUGGGGGUCGAGGACGGGGUACAAAGGCGACCGUUCGGUGCCUCUGACCACCGCGCGUGGUGGAGCCGGUGGCGGCCCGUUCGGCCAAGAAAAGGGGGUGGCUGAGAUUUUUUUUCUUUUUUUGUUUCUCUGAAAUUUUUUGUUAAAA